rnacentral:tRNA from 1 species
AAGGGUAUAGCUCAGUGGAAGAGUGCUGUGCUUAGCAUGCAUGAGGUCCUUGGUUCAAGCCCCAGUACCUCCA